CCUACGGGAGGCAGCAGUGAGGAAUAUUGGUCAAUGGACGAGAGUCUGAACCAGCCAAGUAGCGUGAAGGAUGACUGCCCUAUGGGUUGUAAACUUCUUUUAUAUGGGAAUAAAACGUUCCACGUGUGGGAUUUUGUAUGUACCAUAUGAAUAAGGAUCGGCUAACUCCGUGCCAGCAGCCGCGGUAAUACGGAGGAUCCGAGCGUUAUCCGGAUUUAUUGGGUUUAAAGGGAGCGUAGGGGGAUUGUUAAGUCAGUUGUGAAAGUUUGCGGCUCAACCGUAAAAUUGCAGUUGAAACUGGCAGUCUUGAGUACAGUAGAGGUGGGCGGAAUUCGUGGUGUAGCGGUGAAAUGCUUAGAUAUCACAAAGAACUCCGAUUGCGAAGGCAGUUCACUGGACUGCAACUGACACUGAGGCUCGAAAGUGUGGGUAUCAAACAGGAUUAGAUACCCCAGUAGUC
rnacentral:rRNA from 1 species